GUUGCGGUGGCCGAGUGGUUAAGGCGUUGGACUAAAAAUCCAAUGGGAUCUUCCCGCGCAGGUUCGAAUCCUGCUCGCAACG
rnacentral:tRNA from 2 species